UGGGGAAUAUUGCACAAUGGGCGAAAGCCUGAUGCAGCGACGCCGCGUGAGGGAUGACGGCCUUCGGGUUGUAACCCUCUUUCAGCAGGGACGAAGCGCAAGUGACGUUACCUGCAGAAGAAGCACCGGCUAACUACGUGCCAGCAGCCGCGGUAAUACGUAGGGUGCAAGCUUUGUCCGGAAUUACUGGGCGUAAAGAGUUCGUAGGCGGUUUGUCGCGUCGUUUGUGAAAACCAGCAGCUCAACUGCUGGCUUGCAGGCGAUACGGGCAGACUUGAGUACUGCAGGGGAGACUGGAAUUCCUGGUGUAGCGGUGAAAUGCGCAGAUAUCAGGAGGAACACCGGUGGCGAAGGCGGGUCGCUGGGCAGUAACUGACGCUGAGGAACGAAAGCGUGGGUAGCGAACAGG
rnacentral:rRNA from 1 species